rnacentral:rRNA from 1 species
AUUGAACGCUGGCGGCAUGCCUUACACAUGCAAGUCGAACGGUAACAGGUUAAGCUGACGAGUGGCGAACGGGUGAGUAAUGUAUCGGAACGUGCCCAGUCGUGGGGGAUAACUGCUCGAAAGAGCAGCUAAUACCGCAUACGACCUGAGGGUGAAAGCGGGGGAUCGCAAGACCUCGCGCGAUUGGAGCGGCCGAUAUCAGAUUAGGUAGUUGGUGAGGUAAAGGCUCACCAAGCCGACGAUCUGUAGCUGGUCUGAGAGGACGACCAGCCACACUGGGACUGAGACACGGCCCAGACUCCUACGGGAGGCAGCAGUGGGGAAUUUUGGACAAUGGGCGCAAGCCUGAUCCAGCCAUGCCGCGUGCGGGAAGAAGGCCUUCGGGUUGUAAACCGCUUUUGUCAGGGAAGAAAAGGUUCUGGCUAAUACCUGGGACUCAUGACGGUACCUGAAGAAUAAGCACCGGCUAACUACGUGCCAGCAGCCGCGGUAAUACGUAGGGUGCAAGCGUUAAUCGGAAUUACUGGGCGUAAAGCGUGCGCAGGCGGUUAUGCAAGACAGAGGUGAAAUCCCCGGGCUCAACCUGGGAACUGCCUUUGUGACUGCAUGGCUAGAGUACGGUAGAGGGGGAUGGAAUUCCGCGUGUAGCAGUGAAAUGCGUAGAUAUGCGGAGGAACACCGAUGGCGAAGGCAAUCCCCUGGACCUGUACUGACGCUCAUGCACGAAAGCGUGGGGAGCAAACAGG